rnacentral:rRNA from 1 species
AAUCAACGCUGGCGGCGUGCCUAACACAUGCAAGUCGAACGCGAAAAGCCCCUUCGGGGGCGAAGUAGAGUGGCGUCCGGGUGAGUAACACGUGGGUAAUCUACCUCCGGGUGGGGAAUAACUCGCCGAAAGGCGGGCUAAUACCGCAUAAUGCAGCGGCACCGAAUGGUGAUUAGUUGUUAAAGCGGGGGACCUUAGGGCCUCGCGUCUGGAGAGGAGCCUGCGGCAGAUUAGCUUGUUGGAGGGUAAUGGCCUACCAAGGCUGCGAUCUGUAGCUGGUCUGAGAGGACGGCCAGCCACACUGGCACUGACACACGGGCCAGACUCCUACGGGAGGCAGCAGUGGGGAAUUUU